CAGCUUGCGUUAUAUACAGGUGUCUUCUGCACUGGAGAUCAUUUGAGGUUGAAAGAACUGGUGUUUUUGACCGUAUUAUUCAAACAAUAGGCUCUGCUAUAGAGGUAGGCACCAAGAACAUCUCGUGCAAGUUUGAUAAAAGGAUCUCGUACUCAAGCAAAUGCCUUGGCCCAACAAACUCUGAUCGCACAUUGGCAGAGUAUUGUGAGAAUAUUAACAAACGACCUGAAUGUUUUGAAAGCAAAUUAUGUCCCUUCAUUUUUAAUCAGCAAGGUGUUCACUCAGAUAUUUUUGUUUAUUAAUGUCCAGCUGUUCAAUAGUCUGCUUCUCCGACGUGAGUGCUGUUCAUUUAGCAAGGAGAAUAUGUCAAAGCUGGAUUGGCUGAGUUAGAGCAGUGGUGCAUUUAUGCCACUGAAGAGUAUGCAGGUUCUUCCUGGGAAGAGUUGAAGCAUAUUAGGCAGGCCGUUGGAUUCCUUGUAAUUCAUCAAAAGCC